UGUGUUGUGGCUCAGUGGUAGAGUGCUUGUCUAGCAUGAGUGAGGCACUGGGUUCAAUUCUCAGCACUGCAU
rnacentral:tRNA from 1 species